rnacentral:rRNA from 1 species
GACGAACGCUGGCGGCGUGCUUAACACAUGCAAGUCGAACGGAAAGGCCCUGCUUUUGUGGGGUGCUCGAGUGGCGAACGGGUGAGUAACACGUGAUUAACCUGCCCUUGACUUUGGGAUAACUUCAGGAAACUGGGGCUAAUACCGGAUAGGAGCUCCUGCUGCAUGGUGGGGGUUGGAAAGUUUCGGCGGGUGGGGAUGGACUCGCGGCUUAUCAGCUUGUUGGUGGGGUAGUGGCUUACCAAGGCUUUGACGGGUAGCCGGCCUGAGAGGGUGACCGGACAAAUUGGGACUGAGAUAAGGCCCAGACUCCUACGGGAGGCAGGAGUGGGGAAGAUUGCACAAGGGGAGGAAGCCUGAUGCAGCAACGCCGCGUGCGGGAUGACAGGCUUCGGGUUGGAAAGCGCUUUCGCCUGUGACGAAGAGUGAGUGACGGUAAUGGGUAAAGAAGCACCGGCUAACUACGUG